GACAGAGGUGCCAAGCGUUAGGCGGAAUCACUGGGCUUAAAGCGUGUGUAGGCGGACGCCUAAGUACCUUGUGAAAUCCCCCGGCUCAACCGGGGAACUGCUGGGUAUACUGGGCGUCUUGGGCCAACUAGGGGCUGCCGGAACAAAUGGUGGAGCGGUGAAAUGCGUAGAUAUGUGGAGGAACACCGAUGGCGAAGGCAGCCCCCUGGGUCAAGACUGACGCUCAUGCACGAAAGCGUGGGGAGCAAACAGG
rnacentral:rRNA from 1 species